AACCAUUUCAUCUUGGAGGAGAUAAACCUGCAUCCCUGAAGCCUGGAGUUUGGAACCGUGAGCUAUCUGUAAAUAGUCAUGAGAUGGACAUCCACUAAAUGAGAUUAAAAUGAGAGGAAAUGCGCUUAAAUCAAAACAGAAGAAAAUGUGGCAACAUGAAAGAAAGAACUUUUGACCAUCAAUACAAGAAGAAGGAAGAAGGAGGGAGAAGGACAUUAAAAGAGA
rnacentral:lncRNA from 1 species